rnacentral:lncRNA from 1 species
AAGAUUGUCCCCUUUGGAACCCUGUGAUGUUCACACAAUGAUGAAAUCACCUAAUGACAUGUUUCUCAGAAUAUACCCCAGUCAUUGAGCAACACAUGACUGUAAAUGGUUGAAUAGAUCAAUAAAUGGAGAAUAGACAAAUCUCCAGUGCAGAAUUCUAAAUAAAUUAUGUAGUUACUUUGCCCUCAGAGAGAUGAAGCCCUUUCUUAAAUGCGAGCUGUAAGUUACUUCCUUCCAAAGAGUAAAGUACAAAAUAUGGGGGAGAGAAGGGUAACUUUACAGUGGAGAAGACUGGCAAACUACCUCAGCCAGGUGACCAAGGUCAACAUCAACAAUGACCAGUCAUGUUGAUGGUAUGUAUCCUUGAUAUCAUGAAAAUGGCACUGUACCUGUGAUCCUCCUCUCCUACCCCAUAAUCCCAGUCUAAUGAGAAAAACAUUAGACAAAUACAAAUUGAUGAAUAUUCUACAAAAAUACCUGACCAACACUCCUCAAAAGUGUCAAGGUAAUCAAAACCGAGGAAACUCAGAGACUUUCAAGGCCAAGAGGAGUCGAAGGAAACAGGACAAUUAAAUGUAGUAUGGUAUCCUGAAUAAGAUCUUGGG